AUUUGUGAGGGACAAGUAGGGAUCCAAAUACUUGGGUCUUUUAACCCAGUUUCUACUAUUAUUUCGAAAGGUGGUGGCAUUUACAACAUAGGCUUUCCCUAAAGUCCAGAUGUCAUGCCACCCGGGGGGACUGCACAAACCCUAAGUCCGGAUAUCUUGCCACCCUUCUUAUAAAGUCAUUUACGGAAUCACCAUACGAUUGUGGCAAGCGUAACCUCGGUACCAACU